UCAUUGAUUCCCUGCAUCUACACGCGGUUAUCGUAGAACCAUACAUUCCAAGAGAGAGAAUAAUGUUUGGCAAGGCCCAUCUCGUCUUCCUUCUUUUCCUAGCCCUUUCAUCUGACGUGAUCAUCUCUUCGAAGGUCGCCGUCGCUGCCCGCCUGGUGAGCAACGGAGGAAGCAGAUCCGGGGUGAUGGCGGUGAGCAAGAUUGGUGUUGGCGAUAGGAUGAUCCCGACUGCCGGUAUACAAAAUGCUCCACCGUCACCUUCCAAAUGAUCCACGACUAUCAAAUUUUCUGAACGAUUGCUCCUAAAUUUCGUUGGUGUUUUAUGGAGACAAUACAAAUGUAAUUCACUUUCGAUCCUAUCCAUGGUUAAGUAGGGUUUUCCACAUACUUCUGUUGACGGAACUCAAAUGAUUUCCUUGAAUACACUGCCAAUGGCAAAAGAUUUUAGUUUGGUUU